CCCGCAGCCCCCGGGCCGGGCAGCGGCCGCUUUGUUCGGGUGCGCUCCGUGGCCGGCCCGCACACGUGUCCCGCCGGAACGGGAACGUUCGUGGUGUUUUCAGGGGAAAGGCAGGGGAAUAAACUGCGAAGCGAUUUAUUUCCGAGGUGGUUCUGGCAAUCUGAGCAUCCCCCCUCCCUUUGCACAGCCACUUUUCCUCCUGCCUGAGCUCUCCCCCUCCCCCGAGCGUGUUUACCCCGCAGUCUGCGCUCAUCGCUCUCUCGCCGGGGCUGUGGUGGGACUAAUAAGCUGCUGGUAACAACAUAAAUUAUAACCUGCAUAAUCAGUGUUUCAAGCAAAUAUUGGUUGAAAGAAUGUGCCUUUCCUAUCAGUGCUGUGGUUGCUGGAAAGAAUCAUUGAUUAUCUUUUAAAUAGUUAACACUGCUGAUAUGCUGCCCUUCAAAAUGUUACAUUGAUAACUGAACAGGCUGAUGCCAAGUGUCAGGAUACAGCAUUGAUCCACAGCUGGUAACUUUUUUCGAAUGGUAAUGCCUGCCACAUAAUUUAAAGGGGUAAUAAGCACUCUGUAAAAAAGGGGCUAUGAGUGUACAAACAGAAGGCACAGAACUGCCCUACCUUUCUGAAAAUUACUGACCUCACUGGCAUGGUCUGUCUCCUUUUGGGAGAUUGGUUGAUCAAAAGACUGACCAUCUAGGCAAAUUCUUAUUAUCUGUUUAAGAACCUCUUUGUUAAACAGUUAAUGUGUAACUCCAGCAUGAGUGUUUUGUUUGGGCUGUAGCAAUGGAAAGAGAGAGUGUCUGAGUACUGGUGUCUUUGGAGCACCUCUGAACACUGCUGCUUGUUUCCUUGGUGAAAGAUAAUCCUCAGAAAAGGAAACACAGUCCCUCAGUGAAGGUUGCAUGUGAAAGAAAGAGGUCUGACCUCGUGUUCUUGUCAGUUCUGUAGCCUGUCCCUGAAGUCCUCCCCACACAGAUGUGUCGUGGUGGUCUGUGGAAAACAUUCACAGCCCUUCACGUGAAAGGCAACUCACAGUCUAAAGCAAAGGUUUUCUGACAUCAGCAGAAAAACUAGAGCUUGUGAUCUGUGUUGAAUUAGUUCAGAUUUGCAAAGUGCAAUUGGCUUUAUGAACUUGCUGCAAAUACCAGCUCUGUAGUGAUUUUCUAAAAUUCUGAUUAUUUCCUAAUAGCAAGUUGUGUGCAGGCACGAGUGACUGUAAUCCUUAAAAAAUGUCACAAAGCUAUCAAUGGGGGAACUUACAGCUUUGGUAAUACUCGGCUGCUCAAAGUGAUGCUUUUGAAAUUGCUUUCAUCUUGACACUGACAGCCUGCAAUGUGAGCUGUAAUCAGCUUCUGGAUCUUUAAGGAUGGGUUAGGUGCCUUCUCUGCACAGUUUCUUGCUUUAUUUUGAAGGUGGAUGUUGUUUUGUUCAUAGCAAAUUCCAGCCGAUUUGUGUCAGUAGCUCUCAUAACUUGCUGAUCUUGGAAAUUCAUUCAUAAUUGCAUCUUGCUUCCCUUUAGCAUGAAUUGUAUGGAAAAAAGGUGAUCAGAGGAAGGAGUGGCUUCGAGAGGAAACCAAGAACAGCUCUUUUGGAAGACUGUCAUUGAAACUAAUUAAAGAAGUAUAUAUUGAGCAAGAAAGGCUGCCAGACAGUUUGACAGACUUCUGAGACAAAGAGACUUGUUCUGACAAAUUCGUGAGUGGAUGAGGAAGAGGCUUGGUUCUGCUGCUCGCUGGGGUUCAGCUUAAGGGAGAGAAAGAAAUCCUGUGUGUUGUGUGUCUGUGUACAGGGGCAGAUGGAAAGGGGAUGGACAGAAGGGCAGACAGGACUCUGCUGCACUCGCACUUCCUGGUGGCAGAAAGGGAUGUACAGGUGGUUUGGAUGGAAAGAGACGCACAGUUGUGGGUUGGCAGGAGAGCCCCAGCACUGCUGAGAGCUGAACCACUUGGUUCUCUUUAUUGGUGCUGGGGAAGUGUUGCUAAAUUUAAUUUAGAGCUUUGGAGGACUGUAAAGUCCAUCGUGGUGGGAUUUCAGCAGUUUGGAAGAACUUGCAAACUGCAGAAACAACGUUAUUGUUUCAUUAGGCACAUGGGUCUGUGCUAGUGAAUGUAACAGGAAAACUCUGAGUAAGAAGAGACUACAAAAAUAAAGGCAUGGGAUGUUAGAAAGACAGUCCUUUCUUUCAUCCUUGUAAUUAAUAAUACAGAAGGAGCUGAAAAUUGUAACCUGAAUUCUUGGAAGACUGAAAGAACAAUCUGUAAACACUUGAGGGACUUGGUAGUCGCAGGAAGAUAAGAGGGAACCCCCUUAACAACUUCAUCAGAAUUCCCUGGCUGGGCUCCUUCUCUCUGGCUGCUUCUCCCUAGGGGUCUGCAUCUUAUCUCGCUGGCUUCCUUUCCUCUAUUUGCCUCUGACUAAUAGGCUUUGUAUUCUGGUUACUGGAAGUCUAAUAAUUUCUUUUGUCUCUUCCCCCUUCCUCCUUUUUAAAAAUACUAGAUUAAUGGCUGUAAUGUUUUGCAGACUAUCUGCAUUGGUGACAUGGAUUAAUUGUAUACUUGACUCCAAGUUAUUCAGCAGUAAUGACAUAGUAAGUCGACUUGAAACAAUUGUCCUUUCGUGGCAAAUGUUCAAGGCAAAUGUUGCCUUCUGGUAAAGAGCCACCUGCAAUUUACCCCCUGUAAACAUAUGACACGAGUAAACUGUCUGUGCUGGUUUUCUCGGUGUCCUCUCUACAGUAAGUUGUCUCUAGUGUGUCUUUUGAAACAGUCAGUGAUCUAUCUUUUCUCCUCCCCCCCUUUCUUUUGACUCCAGCUUGAGUCAGGUAAUUACAGAUCUGGGUUGGAACCUUCCUGGGGAGUGAUCAGAAAGGCCAGGACUUGCCGCAUCGCUCACUCACCCCGUGGCUUCCCCCUCCAUGGGAGGGGUUUGUGGAACCUCCUGGCUGUUGCAUUCUAUGUGGAACCCAGGGAGCCUGAAGGAAGCUGUGAAGCUAAUGGAAUGAUUCCCUGUGUAGCUGAAACUAUGUUGGCUGAGUGCUGCUGAUGGCAUGGUGAGAUGUGUUGAGGAGCGGCCGCGAGGGUGUCCGAGGGCAGGGGGACCGCGGUAGGAGCUGGUGCGCAACAUCAUGGGCCAGUGCGUCACCAAGUGCAAGAAUCCUUCCUCCACCCUGGGCAGCAAAAAUGGGGAAAGGGAAUCCGGCAGCAAGUCCCACAGUAAGAGAAGUGCAGUCCACAAAGACGACCACGGCUCAGCCUGCGGGAAGGCUUCGGGAGACAUCCUCGUGAACGGCACCAAGAAAACGGACGCUGCUCUAGAGUCCAACCAGCCCCCCACGCUCUCUGGAGAUACAAAGAAAGACUCCGUUUGCAGCGCAGAAGAAUCUUCACUUCAAAGGAUCGGGGAGUUGUUUAGGAGGUACAAGGAUGAACGGGAAGAUGCCAUUCUGGAGGAAGGGAUGGAACGAUUUUGCAAUGACCUCUGUGUUGAUCCCACUGAAUUUAAAGUACUAGUUUUGGCUUGGAAAUUCCAGGCUGCUACCAUGUGCAAAUUUACAAGGAAGGAGUUUUUUGAAGGCUGCAAAGCAAUAAAUGCAGACAGCAUUGAUGGCAUUUGUGCAAGGUUCCCCAGCCUCCUAAACGAAGCCAAGCAGGAAGAUAAAUUCAAGGAUCUCUACCGUUUCACCUUCCAGUUUGGCCUGGACUCUGAAGAAGGACAGAGGUCGCUACAUCGGGAAAUAGCCAUUGCCCUUUGGAAAUUAGUCUUCACCCAAAACAAGCCCCCUAUUUUGGACCAGUGGUUACACUUCCUAAUCAAGAACCCCUCAGGAAUCAAGGGAAUCUCCCGGGACACGUGGAACAUGUUUCUAAAUUUUACUCAGGUGAUUGGACCGGACCUUAGCAAUUACAGCGAGGACGAGGCCUGGCCGAGUCUCUUCGAUACCUUUGUGGAGUGGGAAAUGGAGCGAAGGAAAAAGGAAGAGGAAACCAAAUGUGUUACGUCUUCGGACACAGAGGGCCUGUGUGAGGAACAGACUUAGCGGUGUCCAAGCAGCAGUGACGAAAGCAACUUGUUGCCCUUCACAAAAUGUAAACUCUGGAUGUUUCUGGAAAUUACCGAGGCUCCAGAUUUUUCUACUUUACACCUUUUUCUGCCUUGUCUUUGAAAGGGCUCUAAAAUGCUGUAUCAUGUUUUAGGCACUUUCUUAAUUUUGGUUAUUCCUUUUACUCUUGCCCUGAAAUAUUUGACCCUGGCUACAAGUUAAGCGUUUUUGGGGGUUGUUUUUUUUUUUAAGACUUCAGAUUAGUAUAAGUAAGUCUGAUAUUUCUUGCACAAUGUAGAUCUUUUUAGUUAGGUUAAAUUAACAUUGCUAAGUUAUACAGUGCCAGAUUAAGUUUUUCAUACUACAUCUGUCAGGGCAGGUCUGUACUGUGUGUAGUGCUGUUUACAUUGUUGAAAUUUUAGGCUAUAAUAAUUUUAAGGUUUUAUACCAAGAUGAACAGCAGUGUUAACUAUAAAUGCAUUAAUCCCGGGUAAUAAGGCUCUAAAAACCAACAUAAGCAACAGCUUUUUGUAAUAUGGCUAAUUCUCAUUUUGAGCUAACUCUUAGUGAAUGAGUCCAGAUCAUUCCUUUUUUUUGGACUUUCAAACUAAAUGUUGGGAUUGUUUUAUAAAAUUACUGUACCUGUCAGUCAACUGAGUGGUAGAUGACGAUUUGUAUCUAAAUCUCUUUACACAUUCAUGUAAUAAAAGAGCAGUACUACCUCAGUUUUAUUGAAAGUGGACUUGUUGAUGGACUUCCAUUUUCUCUGGAAGUUGUAUUUUUGUGGUUACAUGAGAAUAUUUUUACUUGACUAAAAGAACCAAAGGUUCUGCUUCUUAAGUUUGCUAAACAUUGACAGAAGCAACACACAAAUCCUAAGUCUUCAAGGAAAACUGUGGUAUAAUUCUGCUUUAAUUUGUUUGAUUUAUACCUAAAGUAUUACCUUACUUGUCUGGCAAGCACAGUACUUCUAUGUAAGGAACUAUCUUUUGCAUUAAUACUGAUGAACCAGUUUUUUAAGGCCUAUGUUUAAUUGCUAAAUUGCAGUUAAUACUCCACACUUUCUGGAGAAACAAUAUCGGCAUCUGAUGACAAAGUGAAUUCUUAAUGUGUUCUUAAUGACAACAGUGUAGAUGAGUCAUUUUUAGACUGAUUUGAUAAUAUUUGGAUAGGAGUCAAUUUAUUAUUUUACAAUGCCUGUAUUGGGAUAUUUGCCUGUUGAAAUUGUUGUGACUUAAAGGGAGUUUUAUUAACACUGGUUGAAACUUUUUUGGUUAUUGAUGCUACCUUUUUUAAUUUUUAGUAUGUCAACUUUUUUACACCUUUUGGUAAAAGGAAUGAUUGCCAAGGCUUUCUCUAUAGCCAAGUGCUGGCUUAGUUAAUUUGAUAAACUUCCGUUACACCUUUUUAUUUUCAGAGCUGCAUUUUAGGAUCAUAAAACGACUUCAACUAAAAAAAACCAAACCAAAAAGAAAAAAAAGAAGCCUGGUCAGUCAUCCAUAGCAUCUACUGGCUUUUGUGCUGUAAGGGUUUUCAAGCUAAAGGGAACCAGGUUUUAACUGGUGGGCUUGUCACCAGAUCCAGGGUGUCGUGCUUUGCAUGUCUGCUGUGCCCCAGAGGGGUUAACAGACAGAGGAGCAGGAUCUGCCCCAGUUCUGGGACUGGCUUUGCUGGUGUGCAGCCUCUGCAAUAGCUUGGCUCUGAGGUCAUAAAUCACUAACAAAAUGUGGGUAAUGGAAACUGUUUAAAAACAAGCCCACGAGUCACAGAUAGCAUCUCUUUCAUCUAAUAAGAGGAGAGUUUGGUCCGUGCUGCUCUCGCUGGGAGCCAAGCUGUGGCAAACAAAUGUGGUUGUUUUAGAUGCAGCUGAGUCUGUCUCUGGCAGGAGGAGUGCCCUGAAGUUGCUGUUUUGUGGGUAAAUAUGCCCAAAGCUUUGUCCUUGCUACUCUAACCUUCCAAGCUACUGUGGCACGAGCACUGUUUGGCAGCAAAACCUGAUUCUGGUUUGGUGGGCAAAGCAGGCCAAAGCACUUGUGCUGGUGGUGUUGAAUUUAUGGUGAGACUUUUGUUGGUGCUGUUACUUUUUAAAAACUAAAAUAAAUUCCCCAACAGAGGCUGCUUUGUUAGGAAAAGUUCCAAAUGCAGACUGUAUUUCUAAGUUUGAGGCUCUUCAUUCAUUCAGCUAUUAAAAGCUUUGUUCAUCACUUAAGUUUUUUUUUUUUUUCCUAAAGGAAAAUUAAAAUGUCCAGAGUGUGAAGACUCUUCAGCUGAUAGCCAGUGCAUGCCUGCACACCAGAUCAGGGCAGGGGCUGCUUCUCAUUUAUGUGCUAACAGGCAGCAGCUCCAAAGGAUGAGGGACAGAGCUUUUUUAGAGGGAUGUUUAUCUUGUGGUUGGAAUGUGGACAGCAGGGAAGAAAUCAAUCUGUAGCACAUCCAGCUCAGCCCUUUUAAUGUAUCAGACUUAAUACAGCUUCUUUUUAAGGCAGAGGUGAACUCACAGGAAGGGAAAAUCUGGUUUCCUGUUGGGGAAAGGACACACUGUUGGCAGUGGCUGAGUUCCCAUGUGUUCAGUGUGGGGGCACAGCCCUGCUCCUGCUCCUCUGCUUCCAGGAGCAGGAGCAGCUCCACCCCCUGGACAGAAUACUUGCAAAAAUAGCCAAAUGAUCUAUCCAGCAAAGUACCAUUUAUUUUUAGCCUAAUUUCAGUCUUUUAAUUACCAUUUACAGAAUGCAAACCAGACCUGUAUCAGUUUCAAGCUCUGAACCAGGAGCUGGAGGUGCUUUGGCAGUGCUGACAGUGAGCGAGGCUGUCAGACCUUCCUUGGAUUGCCUGGUGAUUUUGGGAUCCUCAGUGAGACUCACCCGUGCUCUGUCAUGCUGGGGUGGGGGACUGGGCUUUGCACGUGUUUCUGAGAAGUCUUUUAUAAUAUUGGAGCCUCUGAAAAUAUGUUUGUUUAAUGGUUAAACUGUGAAUAUCUGUGGAACAGGCCAAAUACAUUCACUCUUCAUUUUUAUAUAAUUUAAAUCUUUAUUUUUUAGGGCACAGGACUGUAAGUGAGCAGUGAUGCUGAUGAAAUCCCUGAAAUCAUUGCAACUGUUUAAUUUUUUUUUUUUUAAAUUAGAGUAUGCAUUAAGGAACUUUAUGCAUGUAGUGAAUCUGCUGCAACUUGGGAUAAAUAACUAUAGGUAACUUUAUAGUUAUAGUAAUAUACUGGAAAACUGGUCUGACAUCCACAGUCUGUGGCAUUUUACUGCCUUCUCUUAUAUGCAAAGAAAUACAACUCCUGUACACUUUAGUCCCUGGUAAUAAAAGGCUGACCACCUGCACCAUAUUAUAGUUUGCAACACCUUUAAAAUUUGGCUUCCAGAUCAACUGGAGGCUCAGUUGUGCUAAAUUUUACUCGCAUGGGUGCACUUCUGAGGUCAAAGACUGAUGACUGACUGAUUCAAGUAAGGAUUUGAAAGGUCCUGCCCAUGGAACAUGACUGAGGAAAUGGAAUUGAACACUGAAUUGAGAGUUUACUUACUGCUGGUGCUACUCUCCAUGGAGAAUUACAGCUUUUCAGUCCUGUGCAAUUGUAAUGAAAGAACCACAGGAAAAAUAACUGCAGGUGUGGCAGGUGGUGUAAGAGCAGACAGCUGGAGCCUGCAGCAGUUGGGAGUGCUGGGAGCGGCUCCCCCAGGCUGGCCUGGCAGAUCUGCUCAUGGAUCACCCUCUGGACCACGGCAGCUUCUCAGCUGAGCACAGGUAGAGCAUGAGAGGAGCUGCCCCUGCUCUGCUGCUGUGAGGGGCUCGGGUUGGUGCCCAGAUGCAGCCCCUGCUCCCACGGGCAGGGUGGGUGCCUGGUGGGUCGGUCAGUGCUGAGGCAGCAGCAGCUUUGCCUGUGUAACUUGGAUCAUUCACUCCUCCCACGUCCACCAGAGCCUGAGGAACCCAUGGAUCCAGGACUAGCCUGUUAUCCAUGGUUCCCAGGUGUGGCUAUGCACUGCCCAGUGACCUUAGUCUUUUCAUGACACUGUCAACAUCAGCAUCUCCCUUAUAGUUCUAAGCCUUGGUUCUAAAAAAAGCCCAGCAAAGUUAAAAGAAACACCAUGUAGUUAACAGCCACCUCAGUUGUGAUAUAAUUUCUUGGCUGAGGUUACAUCAUUCCCAUGCUUUGGAAAAUAACAGUCAUUGUGAGUUUCUGGGUCUUGCAGCCUUGUCUUCUGCAGUGUGAUCCUUUUUUAGAAGGUCCUCAGUAAAUUAGGCACUCAGUUCUUCCCUUGGGCUCACUCUGCUCAAAGUGUGUGCAUGUGAAUUUAGCUCUUCAUAUUAAAAAAGGAAGAUGUUUAACCUGAAACUCAAAAUUCUUUAGGGUAGUGCUUCAAUAUAGAGCAAAACGUAUUUUUUCACAUAAGUAUUAAAAACAAAGUUUCCUUUCUGCUUAAACUUUGUUGUGUGCAAACAAACCCACCAGUGUUAACAUUUUCUCUCUGGACUAUUGGAAAUUGAACCUUUGGUUUUAUAGUGUCAACUGAAGUGAAAUACAUGAGAUUGUAAGACAGAAAGAAGGCUGUAACUCCUUCACCAUGAAGUACAUAGGUAUCUCUACCUCUUGUUCUUAGACUUGAAUAGUUGAAGGUUACCAUCCUUUCGUCCCAGGAUUUUAUGCCUGGGUGAGUAAUCUAUCUUUUUUUUUUUUUUUUUUUUUAAUUGACCCAAGUUAAGUAUUAUCUAUUUGCCAUAGUUUUUGGUAUACUGUGUUUCAUGUGUAUGCAAUGGACCCUUGGGAAGGGAGCCGGGUCAAGCUGCAAACCAGUGUGUUGGUCCUCCCGGGUGCUACUUUUGGAGUGCAAUAGAGCGGCCGAGCGGAGCUCCCCGGCCGGGGCUGGGGGGCCUCUGGCAGCACAUCCUCCUCCCUGCUCGGGCUGCCUGUACUGGCAGUGAAUUGAAGAUGGAGCAGCUGCUCCCCAGGAGGGAGCCACCAGCCUUUUCCUUUGCCCUUGAAAAGCUUUAGGAACCCACCUGAUGCAGUGCCAUGAGUGUAUUUUUAUUUGAAUCAAAAAUACUGUGUUUUGUUCGCGUUGGACCAGACCUGUAACACCCAGCAAAGAUGGGAGCUGCAGAAGCAUAAAGGCUGCACUCAUCCUUUUCCUCUCAGAGGUCAGAAUCCUGCUCAGGAUAAAACCCCUAUGCUUGAGUAAAGCUGGAGCGUUCUCAAGGGGACUGGAGGUGCCAGAGUGGCUUCAGUGCUCGGCUGUGCUCAUUAAUGCAUCGAGGGGGUGUCUUUUCCACGCGUGUCUGUGUGCCCUGCUCUCCUUCCCCAAAGCAAACUACAACACAACUACAGUCACGGCACGGCCCCAGGAGAUGGGAUGCUGCAGCAGCUGUUGCUGCAAGAUUGUUCUUCCAGUGCGUGUGAGGGCUGCUUUUGGGGUGUGACCUCGUGCACUAUUAGGACGGGCGUGUGUUUCAGGAGAGACAAUAGGUAAAAGGAGCACGGACGUUCUUGUCCUGACAGCUUGCCUUAAAUCACUGACAUUGCAGUGGUUCCUCGCUACUAUUGCAAUCCUCAGUCUUUGGAAAUCCAGCAGGUUCUGUAGGUUGUACUAUUUUUGGUUUUAAUUUUUUUUAAUAAGUUUCUAUCUUCGCAUAAUUGCACUCUUCAAAUAAGCCCUUUUUGGAUAACAUGUCAUUUCUCACACAGGAAAAAAAAUAUUCCGUCUCCAGUGUUUGUGUUGUAAAGUGGGUUUUUUUUCCCUCCUGUAAAUUAUAUUUGGACUAUAGGUUGCCUACUCCUGAACCAGUGUGUUUACUUGAAUGUUGCCAUUUUAUGCAGUUACAGCUGCUGACUCUUGCUCUUCUCUGGGCCCAUGAGAGUGGAGAUCGUGUGACCAGGGGUGGCAAACCUUGCACAGAGGAUCAGUGGAGCUGAAGGCUGUGCUACUCCCAUGUGUAUUCCACCUCAGAGGACUGAACAGUGCUCCAUAUUUUGAAGUUGUGAUUUUUUUAAGUCACGUUAAACAUAGUUAUCUUAAAAAUAUGCUUGCUUUCUUAUCUGUAAGUUUGAAAUAGUCUCUAAAAAGGAGCUGGACUGGCAGGAGUGGUGGGAGGGCCUCAUGCUGUUAGUUGUUGAGUAACUCGAGUUGCAGGAGCUGUGGCUGGGACUGGCUGAAUGAGGUCCUGAUCCAACACUGUUGGGGUUUGCACUGGCUGGUCUUGAGGGCAUGAAGCAAAUGCAAGGCCUUGAUGGGCCCCCUGGAGAAGGGAGACUUGGUUGGUGCAGCUGCGUUUCUUUCUUGAGGCCCCAGUUUAGCCUCACUCCCCCUCUGUGGAAGGAAGGCAUUUUGAUUGUGUUUGCUCCCAGAGAAGUCGCUCAGUGUAACCAAGGAGGUCCUGGGAGCACAGCUUUGUGUGGCUGUCACUGAUCUCAUGUGAACAGAGCUCCCUGAGCGGUCUCUCUGCUCCUCAGUAACCAGCAAGGGUGGGCAGGGUCAAAUCUUCAUGCCAGGAGUGUGUUCUGCCUUUUCAGACUUACCAAGAGAGAACCCAAUUUUCUCACUCUGGGAAAUGAUGAAUGUGUUGUGUGUCACAGAGCAGCCCCUGGUUCCUCUCUGGGCCAACAGUAUCAGAAAUGUAAAUGUAAUGCUUGAAAAUGGCUGGAGUAAAUUCUGUUUCAUGGAGGACCUUUUUUUCAAGGGGAUGCAGCCAAAUUUGAAACCAUGAUCUAGAGGAAAAGUGGGAGAAUUUCAGGACGAUUCAUCUACUGAAUCCCAUUUGGUUUUCAGUUUUACAGUUACUCUUCUUGUAUCAAAUUUUUCUCACCAUUGUUGUCUGGAACAGAAUGGAAACAGCAUCUUAUGGAAUGUGCAAUCUAAGGCACAAUGCAAAUAGGGUAUGAUAAGAAGGUUGUCUUUACUUGAUAGCAAUCCUGAGUGCAAUGUUUUUGUUGUGUCCCUUUUGGAAGAAGAGCAUUAAGUGCAGUCUGAGGUUUUUCUUUUCUUAUAAGCAAAGCAUUGGUUUGUUCAUUACUGACUUCUUGUGAAAUUUGUGCCAGAUGUAUAUUAAAUAUUUUGGUGCUUUUUCUAA